rnacentral:miRNA from 1 species
AAAGCCCGAAUGAACUUUUUAG